CCCUGUAUACUCGACCGCAAUAUAGAAGCUUACUGCAUUAUUAAAAUUUAUGGCAAUUUUCAAAUACUGUUUAAGUGCUAUAUCAUUUGAAGGUGUCGAAAAAUCUAUGACUCUAUGAUCAAGUUAAAGCAAUAGAAAGGAUAGGAAAUGAUGCGGAAGAAACGUGAUUCAAGUUUGAGGUCACUACAAAUAAAUGGACGAAAAAAAGAUACUGAAAUAGAGAAAACGAGUCAGGAUUGAUGGGAGGGAUCAAUUCUAUUGCAUUUCACUAAAAAAAAGAAUGGCAAAAAUUUUCGCAUAACUUCAGACAUAUUUCAAUAUAUUUGCAAUAGAUCUUUGAGCUAAAGAAAAUUGCAAACUCUACAUAAAUUAGCAUCUUGUAGAUAAUAUUGCAUUGUAAGGAAUCAAUUUGGCACCCACAAAUGAGUUGUGCUUAUACGCCUAUAUGAUUUUGGUAAUGCAAUUAUUAUAGAAUUUGCACAUGAUAAAUUAAGUAGUUUCAUUAGCUUUUGAAAUUAUAUGUGGUAUACUUAAUAUUAUUGGCGCAACAGAUGGGAUCCAUGUUCCUAUUUUGGCACCAUCCAAUGGAUAGAGUGACCUUAUUACUAGAAAAGGAUCGACCUUUUAAGACCUCUGUUUUAGGUAUGCAAGUUGCUAGCAUCUUGGCAAUGCUUAUGAUGCAAAGGUUCUCAAAAACUUAAAUUUGUGUCGGAA